rnacentral:rRNA from 1 species
UAUCUCUGUAGAGUCUGCAUAUCAAUAAGCGGAGGAAAAGAAACUAACUAGGAUUCCCUUAGUAACGGCGAGUGAAGCGGGAAGAGCUCAAAUUUGAAAUCUUUAAGGUUUACCUUGACGAAUUGUAGUUUAAAGAAGUGUUUUCUGUUGGUGUUUUGGUAAAAGUUCUUUGGAAUAGGACAUCAUAGAGGGUGAGAAUCCCGUAUUUGACCAUUACUUCCAGCGUUGUGAUACACUUUCAAAGAGUCGGAUUGUUUGGGAAUGCAGUCCAAAAUGGGUGGUAAAUUUCAUCUAAAGCUAAAUACUGGCGAGAGACCGAUAGCGAACAAGUACCGUGAGGGAAAGAUGAAAAGAACUUUGAAAAGAGAGUUAAACAGUACGUGAAAUUGUCAAAAGGGAAGCGUUUGACACCAGUGUUGUUUUCUCGAAAAUCAAUUAAAAAUGGCAUGAUUUUGUGUUGUAUUGACCUUAUCAAGCUUUCUUCACUCUUUUCAUUGUCUUUUUUAAUGCACUUUUCGUUUAACAAGUCAACAUCAGUUUCUUUUGUUGUAAAAGGGUCAUUGGAAGGUGGCUUUCUUUUCGGAGAAAGUGUUUAUAGCCUUUGCCUCUGCAAUCGGAGAGAUUGAGGUCUGCAGCGUAGAUCCUUCGGGGUUAGAUACAUUUGUGCUAAGUUAUAGCCUUUCAUAGACAACUUGUUGACUAUGAUCAGUCAUGUAGCUUACUCGCUUAUGCUAUUUUACCUACGCUUAGGAUGUUGAAGAUGUAGCACAUCAU